rnacentral:rRNA from 1 species
GGUUUCUUGUUAUGAUGAGAGAUUAGGCCUGCCCACUGAUAUUAUUUGAAGGGCCGCAGUAUUUUGACUGUGCAAAGGUAGCAUAAUCAUUAGUCUUUUAAUUAAAGGCUAGUAUGAAUGGUUAGAUGAAAUAAAUUCUGUUUUGUAUAAAUAUUUUGAAUUUAUAUUUUAAGUUAAAAUACUUAAAUGGUGUUAAGGGACGAGAAGACCCUAUAGAGUUUUAUAUAAUUAAUUUUAUUUAAGUUAUUUAAAAAUUAAAAGUUAAUAGGAAAUUAUAUUUGGUUGGGGUGAUUGAAAAAUAGGAUGAAUUUUUUUUUAUUUUAAAUAGUAUAAAUAGUAUGUUGAUCCAUAUAUGAUGAAUAAAAGAUUAAAUUACCUUAGGGAUAACAGCAUAAUUCUUUUUGAGAGUUCUUAUUAAUAGAGGAGAUUAUGACCUCGAUGUUGGAUUAAGAAUAAUUUUAGGUGAAGGUGCUUUAUGAUUAGGUCUGUUCGACCUUUAAAUUCUUAC